UGAGUUCAGACCGGUCGCCUGUUUAUCAAAAACAUCGCCUCUUGUAAACCACAGAUAAGAGGUCCCGCCUGCCCUGUGACUAUGGGUUCAACGGCCGCGGUAUUUUGACCGUGCAAAGGUAGCGCAAUCACUUGUCCUUUAAAUGAGGACCUGUAUGAAAGGCAUCACGAGGGCUUAGCUGUCUCCUUUUUCAAGUCAAUGAAAUUGAUCUCCCCGUGCAGAAGCGGGGAUUAGAACAUAAGACGAGAAGACCCUAUGGAGCUUUAGACACAAGACAGAUCAUGUUAAGCACCUCAGAUAAAAGAGCAAACUAAGUGGAACCUGUCUUAAUGUCUUUGGUUGGGGCGACCGCGGGGCAACAAAAAGCCCCCAUGAGGAAUAAAAGUAUUCUUUCAAAAACAAGAGCCACAGCUCUAAUGAGCAGAACAUCUGACCUACCAGAUCCGGCAUAGCCGAUCAACGAACCGAGUUACCCUAGGGAUAACAGCGCAAUCCCCUUUUAGAGCCCCUAUCGACAAGGGGGUUUACGACCUCGAUGUUGGAUCAGGACAUCCUAAUGGUGCAACCGCUAUUAAGGGUUCGUUUGUUCAACGAUUAAAGUCCUACAUGAUCUGAGUUCAGACCGG
rnacentral:rRNA from 1 species